CACGUAGGGUGCGAGCGUUGUCCGGAAUUAUUGGGCGUAAAGAGCUCGUAGGCGGUGUGUCGCGUCGGCCGUGAAAACCUGCAGCUUAACUGUGGGCUUGCGGUCGAUACGGGCAUCACUGGAGUUCGGCAGGGGAGACUGGAAUUCCUGGUGUAGCGGUGAAAUGCGUAGAUAUCAGGAGGAACACCGGUGGCGAAGGCGGCUCUCUGGUCCACAACUGACGCUGAGGUGCGAAAGCGUGGGGAGCAAACAGG
rnacentral:rRNA from 1 species